GUCUCCUCUUUCAAUCAGUGAAACUAAUCUCCCCGUGAAGAAGCGGGGAUACCCCUAUAAGACGAGAAGACCCUAUGGAGCUUCAAACUCAACUACACCCCUAAUUUCUAUACCCUCUUAACCACAUCUGGGCCCUGUAUAGUUAGUUUUGGGUUGGGGCGACCACGGAGUAAAACAAAACCUCCACAAUGAACGGAACUACCCCCUUAUCUAAGAGCCACACCUCCAAGAAUUAGAAUACUAACAUAAACUGAUCCAUUAUUUGAUCAAUGAACCAAGUUACCCUAGGGAUAACAGCGCAAUCCAUUUCAAGAGCCCAUAUCGACAAAUGGGUAUACGACCU
rnacentral:rRNA from 1 species